CCCACAGGCCGUAAACCCAAGGUUUCCAGGGGAAGGUUCGUCCGCCCUGGGUUAGUCGGGACCUAAGCUGAGGCCGAAAGGCGUAGGUGAUGGACAACAGGUUGAUAUUCCUGUACUACCGAUAACCGUUUGAGAGAAGGGAUGACACAGUAGGAUAAGCUAAGCACACUGUUGGUUAUGUGUGCCCAAGCAUUGAGGCAGUCAAAGUAGGCAAAUCCGCUUUGAUAAUGCUGGGGUGUGAUGGGGAGCGAAAUUUAGUAGCGAAGUAGCUGAUUUCACACUGUCAAGAAAAGUCUCUAUCGAGGUUAAAGGUACCCGUACCGCAAACCGACACAGGUGGGUGAGGAGAGUAUCCUAAGGCCAGCGAGAGAACUGUUGUUAAGGAACUCGGCAAAAUGACCCCGUAACUUAGGGAUAAGGGGUGCCACCAUCAGGUGGCCGCAGAGAAUAGGCCCAAGCGACUGUUUACCAAAAACAUAGGUUUCUGCUAAGUCGCAAGACGAUGUAUAGGAGCUGACGCCUGCCCGGUGCUGGAAGGUUAAGGGGAUCUGUUAGAGCAAUCGAAGCAGUGAACUUAAGCCCCAGUAAACGGCGGCCGUAACUAUAACGGUCCUAAGGUAGCGAAAUUCCUUGACGGGUAAGUUCCGACCCGCACGAAAGGAGUAACGAUUUGGGCACUGUCUCA
rnacentral:rRNA from 1 species